GGUCAGGACGAACGCUGGCGGCAUGCCUAACACAUGCAAGUCGAACGGGGGUAGCAAUACCCUAGUGGCGAACGGGUGAGUAACACAUAAGCAAUCUGCCCUUCACAGGGGGAUAACAGCGGGAAACUGCUGCUAAUACCGCAUAAGACCACGGUACCGCAUGGUACAGGGGUAAAAACGAAUCAGUGGUGAAGGAUGAGCUUAUGUCCCAUUAGCUAGUUGGUGAGAUAACAGCCCACCAAGGCGACGAUGGGUAGCCGACCUGAGAGGGUGAUCGGCCACACUGGAACUGAGACACGGUCCAGACUCCUACGGGAGGCAGCAGUGGGGAAUAUUGGGCAAUGGAAGGAAACUCUUACCCAGCAAUGCCGCGUGAGUGAAGAAGGUCUUCGGAUUGUAAAGCUCUUUGAUUGGGGACGAAGAAAGUGACGGUACCCAAAGAACAAGCCCCGGCUAACUACGUGCCAGCCGCCGC
rnacentral:rRNA from 1 species